GUCCCUGUAGCUUACAACUAAAGCAUGGCACUGAAGAUGCCAAGACGGCUGUCGCUGCACCCAGGGACA
rnacentral:tRNA from 1 species